rnacentral:snRNA from 1 species
AUACCUUUCUCGGCCUUUUGGCUAAGAUCAAGUGUAGUAUCUGUUCUUAUCAGUUUAAUAUCUGAUACUUGGGCCAUUGGCUCACACGAUAUUAAAUUAAUUUUUCUAGGGGGAAAGCUCACCACAGUAGCUUGCUCUUGGGGCUUUCAUACGUCGCCUAAGUGUUGCACUAUUGUGACAGCCCAAAAUUG